CAACCAGAAUUGGGCGGAGGCCCGAUUCUGAUUGGAUGGCUUUUAAUGCUUCUCUAUUCCACUCUCCGCUUUCCGUGUCCAUCUGAACGCACGUAGUCACGUCUUGUUCGCCUCCGUGGCGGUUGGAUGUGGUUCUGUAACUGCGCAUAUUUUUGAUCUCGGGGACUGCGUGCGCGUUGUCCCUGUUUCUCUUUUAUUUCCAAAAUCGUUGUGAUUGGCGUAGGAGAAGGAGUGUAAUAACUCUGCUCAGAGCCACAUAUUGAACGAAUGAAUUGAACGAGUAGUCACGUCGUAUACGAAGAUCUUAAUAUAAGAUUAAACAAUUGGUUCGAGUUGUAUGCGAGGAUUUAAAAACAUCAUGUGUAAGAUUAAUUAGACAAAUCUUCAGCAAUGAAUUAACCAUGGAAUACAGCUGGUAUGGAGCGAAAAAGAAAAAUGUCUUCAGCAACUUACAAUUGUGCAAAAUAAUUAUAUGAACUUAAAUGAGAACAGAUAUUUAUUUAAAGAAAACACACUCUCUCUCUCUAAUUACACUGAUUUUUAAAUAUUAUAUUCCAAGUGUGAUAAGAAAGUCGCAUACAACUGCAACAGACGAACAAAUUUCUGCUCCCAUCAAGAUCUAGCUGGCUCAUGCAAAGGAA